UACAGAGGUGGCAAGCGUUGUUCGGAAUUACUGGGCGUAAAGGGCGCGUAGGCGGCCUACUAAGUCAGACGUGAAAUCCCCCGGCUUAACCUGGGAACUGCGUCUGAUACUGGAAGGCUUGAGGAUGGGAGAGGGAUGUAGAAUUCCAGGUGUAGCGGUGAAAUGCGUAGAUAUCUGGAGGAAUACCGGUGGCGAAGGCGGGUCUCUGGGCCGAUAUUGACGCUGAGGAGCGAAAGCGUGGGGAGCGAACAGG
rnacentral:rRNA from 1 species